GUGCUCGCUUUGACAGCACAUAUGCUAAAAUUGGAACAAUAUACAAAAGAUUAGCACAGCCCUUGCACAAGGAUGACACAUAAAUUCAUAAAGCAUUCCAUAUUUUU
rnacentral:snRNA from 1 species